UAUGAACGCUGGCGGCGUGCCUAAUACAUGCAAGUCGAACGAAGCACUUCGGUGCUUAGUGGCGAACGGGUGAGUAACACGUAGGUAACCUACCCCAAAGUUGGGAAUAACAGUUGGAAACGACUGCUAAUACCGAAUAAGUAACAAUUGAGACAUCUUAAAGUUAUGAAAGAUCCUAAGGGAUCGCUAUGGGAGGGGCCUGCGGCGCAUUAGUUAGUUGGUGAGGUAAAAGCUCACCAAGACAGUGAUGCGUAGCCGGACUGAGAGGUUGAACGGCCACACUGGGACUGAGACACGGCCCAG
rnacentral:rRNA from 1 species